CUUGAGUGUGCCUUAAAAUUCCAUUUCAUGGAGAACUGUGCGUGGUUGAAUUUUGAUUGAUUACUCAAUUAACUGAUGUAUUGGUAGAGUGAUUAAGAAAGAAGACUUUGGGAUCAGACCAACCUGGUUUUGAAUUCAAGCUCAGCAACUUACUAGGUCAAACCGGAAAGAUGACAAUGAAUGUGGUGAUAUUUUUGUUACUACUUUGGGAGAAAAACUCCUGACGGUGCUGAUGUCCAAUGAAAUGAGACUGGGUUCUGGAAGAAUUUGAUAAGUAGGUAAGGAGGAGAAAAGAAAGAAGGAAAAAUUGGAAAGAUAAAUGGGGUCUUUCCAGUGAAGGCUCAAUUUUCCUACAUAAUUAAGAGUUUGGAAUUCGGGCAAUAUCAAGAACCACAUCUGUCCUGAAAUCAAUUAUCUCUGUUUGAAACACAAGAAAUAAGAAGACCAUUUUGAGAAGAACAGAGAGUAGCCUUAAGAAAAUCCCUGUCGCAAGCACUCUGGGAUUUGGACUCAAAUGCUAAUUAUACAACGUUGGUGGACCAGCCUUAAAACCAACAAUGAUUUGUAACAUUGAUUCUUUGGGAAAGGGCAUUCGGGAUCCCACAUCACCAUCUAACAAAUGAAUUUUUGUAAGAAAACCCAUUG
rnacentral:lncRNA from 10 species